UCUCUGGGAGAAAGGUCGCUCCGCCUCGCUGGUGGUCACGCCCGGCCAGCUGUGGCCGCAUCCCCGUCGGCUAGCUCGGGUCUGGCCCACGGUGACUGUUACCGCUGGAGAAUGGGGCAGGGUCAGAAAUCAGGAGUGAGGACUUGUUGAAAGAAAUAGGAAGGAAUCAGGAGAUCACACAAAUGCUGGCCCCAAAUGUUUGCAUCAUAAACCUACUGCCUAAUUUUACAGAUGAGAAAAUAAAGCUCUCUAAAUAACCACAAAA